UAAAUUUAUUUUCCCUUUUAUAUUGUUUUUUUCUUAUUUAUCAUGCAGACAGGCAACAGAAGCCAGUCACUUGAAAUACCAGUAGGGGCUCUGGCCCAGGAUUUUGGGAACAGAUCAACCCUAAAUGAAGCAUAAAGCCAAGUCUUACAGGUUGAAGGAAAUCAGACUGUAAGUGAACUGCUGAAUGGAACAAAAAUUAGUACUCUUCAGAGGAAGAUAACAAACUCCCGAGUUUCUCAGAUGACCAAGAGAAUUCUAGGUGUCCAGAAUCCAUUCCCUGUCUGGCUAGCCCUCUUCUGCAGAGGAAAACACCACCUCUGACUCUGGGGGCAGCUGAGAGAAGAAGCUCAGGGCAGAACAGCGGCAAGAUGAUUCCCAACCUACUCUACAACUGCGUAGAAUAGGGCAUGUCCAGAGAAGCCAGUGAUUAUAAGAAGCAAGAGGCUGGAGUGUGACCUCCAAAUGGAAAGAGCAAGAUGAAGGACAUAAACAUGCUCUGGGUGUGAGGUAAGUACCUGAUAUGGAAUCUACCCUGAGCUAGGAGUGGGAGACCAGGGCAAAUUAGGAAGGCUUUGCCAGGAAUUCACUGAUUUAUAGGAGUAAAAGCCUUAUAAGCCUAUCAAAUAAAGUCUAC
rnacentral:lncRNA from 1 species